rnacentral:rRNA from 1 species
CCUACGGGAGGCUGCAGUGAGGAAUAUUGGUCAAUGGGCGGACGCCUGAACCAGCCAAGUCGCGUGAGGGAAUAAUGCCCUACGGGUCGUAAACCUCUUUUGCCGGGGAGCAAGGGCGGCUACGUGUACCGGGACGGAGAGUACCUGGAGAAAAAGCAUCGGCUAACUCCGUGCCAGCAGCCGCGGUAAUACGGAGGAUGCGAGCGUUAUCCGGAUUUAUUGGGUUUAAAGGGUGCGUAGGCGGACUUUUAAGUCAGCGGUAAAAUGUCGGGGCUCAACCUCGUCCGGCCGUUGAAACUGGGGUGCUUGAGUGGGCGAGAAGAAUGCGGAAUGCGUGGUGUAGCGGUGAAAUGCAUAGAUAUCACGCAGAACCCCGAUUGCGAAGGCAGCCUACCGGCGCCCAACUGACGCUGAGGCACGAAAGUGUGGGGAUCGAACAGGAUUAGAUACCCGUGUAGUC